rnacentral:rRNA from 1 species
UACGUAGGGGGCAAGCGUUGUCCGGAAUCAUUGGGCGUAAAGAGCGUGUAGGCGGCCCGGUAAGUCCGCUGUGAAAGUCCAGGGCUCAACCCUGGGAUGCCGGUGGAUACUGUCGGGCUCGAGUCCGGAAGAGGAGUGUGGAAUUCCUGGUGUAGCGGUGAAAUGCGCAGAUAUCAGGAGGAACACCGGUGGCGAAGGCGGUUCUCUGGGCCUUACCUGACACUGAGGAGCGAAAGCGUGGGGAGCGAACAGG